rnacentral:rRNA from 1 species
AUCAUUUUCCUGCAGUAAGGUGAAGCAGUGAGGAGAGACGGCCGGUGGCAAACUGAAGGAAGGUGGGGAUGACGUCAAAUCAUCAUGCCCCUUAUGACCUGGGCUACUCGCGUGCUACAAUGGAUGGUACAGCGAGUUGAGAUCUCGCGAGAGUAAGCUAAUCUGUUAAAGCCAUUCUCAGUUCGGAUUGUAGGCUGCAACUAGCCUACAUGAAGUCGGAGUCGCUAGUUAUCGCGGAUCAGCAUGCCGCGGUGAAU